UUAAAGAUCUUUGCACCAAGUUGUCAAGCCGGUAUCUACAGGGUUCCCUGACCUUUCUUAGUUCUGACACCUUGGCCUUCAGUUCGUGCAUCACGGGGCCUUGCAAGGCCAGGCUAGUAUGCGGUAAGAAGACGUCGGCAUCAUUUCCUAACAAGCAGCAGGAGCCGCAUACAGUCAACUCCUACAUUCAGAGCGCCAUCUGCUGCUCAGUGCCGGAAGUGAAAAACAGAACAAACAAGGAGAAGCCGCAUAACAUCUAGGCAGCUUCCUGUUCUGUAUAAGCACUUCACUUGAACUUCGCCAGGUGUUUGAUGUCAUUACCUCUCAGAAGAUUAAAGCGCAACUAAAAAGUGGGCGUCCAACAUGGCAAUGACCCCAAACAUUUCAGUAAAUCCACCAAGAGAUGGAAUGACCUAGAAAACUCUGGAUCUAAAGCCCAUCAAGCCUGCUCUUCAUUAGAAUGAUGGGAAUGUCUGAUGUAGAAAUCCUUGACCUUCAACCUAAAGAAAAUUCUAAUCCUAAUGAAAUCAGAGAUGUUCAUUAUAUGGCCCUUAGUCUUCACAAGUUGAAUUUACAAUAAUAAAAUAAUAAUAACUGAA